ACACUCCUACGGGAGGCAGCAGUGGGGAAUUUUGGACAAUGGGCGAAAGCCUGAUCCAGCAAUGCCGCGUGAGUGAAGAAGGCCUUCGGGUUGUAAAGCUCUUUUGUCAGGGAAGAAACGGUGAGAGCUAAUAUCUUUUGCUAAUGACGGUACCUGAAGAAUAAGCACCGGCUAACUACGUGCCAGCAGCCGCGGUAAUACGUAGGGUGCAAGCGUUAAUCGGAAUUACUGGGCGUAAAGCGUGCGCAGGCGGUUUUGUAAGUCUGAUGUGAAAUCCCCGGGCUCAACCUGGGAAUUGCAUUGGAGACUGCAAGGCUAGAAUCUGGCAGAGGGGGGUAGAAUUCCACGUGUAGCAGUGAAAUGCGUAGAUAUGUGGAGGAACACCGAUGGCGAAGGCAGCCCCCUGGGUCAAGAUUGACGCUCAUGCACGAAAGCGUGGGGAGCAAACAGGAUUAGAAACCCGGGUAGUCCC
rnacentral:rRNA from 1 species